rnacentral:lncRNA from 1 species
AAAAAUUAAUCACCUGGCUACCAGCAUAUUUACAACCAAGUGUUUGGAUCACAUUCUUUAGAUGUUGACUCUAGAGGACUGACUGAAUUUCUCCUUGUUGAAAAGGAUGACUUUUAAUCAUCUGAUCAUAUGCAGAAAUGUCUCACUUAAAAGCAGAAGAGAAAGGAGAUUAAAGUAGAAGGAUCAUUUGCCUCACGGGAAGUCAGCUGCAAUGUUGUGAGGAAAUCCUAUGCAGAGAGAGGCCCAUGAGGCAAGAGACCAAGGCUUACCUACAACCACAUAAGUGAGCUGCAGAUAGGACUGCAGCCCUGACCAACAGCUGGACUGCAGCUCCAUCACAUACCUUGAGCCAGAGGCUAUUCAAGAUGCUGACUACAUGGUUUUUGAUUCUUGCAUGGUUUUUCAAGCAGCCAUCAAGUUGUUUCUGAGCUCUGUCUGCUGAGAUGAAGUCACAUAAACCAGAAUACAAGCACCAUGAAGAAAGGACUAUCUUCUUCUUGAAUCCGCCACACCUAGAGCAGUGCCCGCCGCCCACACCAUGGAUGCUUGGUGAAGAUGUGUUUCGUGAAUAAACAACUUGAGUUUAGGCGUGUUCAGUGCCUGCAAAAGUUUCCGUGGGUCAGGAGUCCGGGCAUUCCUUGGCUGGUGUUAUGGACUGGAUUGUGUUUCAUCACCACCACCGCCAAAUUCUUAUGUUGAAGCCCUACCCCCAAAGUGACUGUAUUUAGAGAUAGAGCCCUUGAGGUAAUUAAGGUAAAAUAUGGUCCUAUGGGUGGACCCUAAUGCAAUAGGACUGGUGUCCUUAUAAGAAGAGGAGAUGAGGACAGACAUGAACAGAGGGAUGACCAUGUGAGGACACAGGGAGAAGACGGCGUCUACACGCCAAGAAGAGAGGCCUCAGGAGGAACCAGCCCUGCUGACACCUUGAUCUCAGACUUCCAGCCUCCAGAACUGCAAGAAAACAGAUUUUGCUUGUUUAAGCCACCCAGUCUCAGGCACGCUGUUAUGGCCACCGAGCAGACUAAGAUAGCUGGAUUCCCGGCUUCCGGGUCUCAGAGAGGCUGCAAUCCAGGUGGUUCAGUCUGGCUUGUCCCACCAUCCACUUCAAAAUCUGCUCUUAGCCAUGAGGAGAGGGAUGGUAGGCGCUCUGUGCUUCGCAUGACUGUACAGGUGUGGAGUGUAGGAGAACCAGCCUGGGAUGUGGGAAAAGAAAUGGAAUUGUGGUCCAGCGCCGACACGUUGUUGCUGUCUGACCAGGAUGCCACCUCAGCAUGGCUUGAUGAGUGCCUGGGAUCUGAACCUGAAAACCCUGGACAGCUGAAACGGAGCCCUAGAACUUAAU